rnacentral:rRNA from 1 species
GAUGGACGCUGGCGGCGUGCCUAAUACAUGCAAGUCGAGCGAACAGACGAGGAGCUUGCUCCUCUGACGUUAGCGGCGGACGGGUGAGUAACACGUGGAUAACCUACCUAUAAGACUGGGAUAACUUCGGGAAACCGGAGCUAAUACCGGAUAAUAUAUUGAACCGCAUGGUUCAAUAGUGAAAGACGGUUUUGCUGUCACUUAUAGAUGGAUCCGCGCCGCAUUAGCUAGUUGGUAAGGUAACGGCUUACCAAGGCAACGAUGCGUAGCCGACCUGAGAGGGUGAUCGGCCACACUGGAACUGAGAAACGGUCCAGACUCCUACGGGAGGCAGCAGUAGGGAAUCUUCCGCAAUGGGCGAAAGCUUGACGGAGCAACGCCGCGUGAGUGAUGAAGGUCUUCGGAUCGUAAAACUCUGUUAUUAGGGAAGAACAAAUGUGUAAGUAACUAUGCACGUCUUGACGGUACCUAAUCAGAAAGCCACGGCUAACUACGUG